rnacentral:sRNA from 1 species
AAUGAGGAAAUUCCCUUUUAGAAUCGUAACUACCUAUCUGUGUAAUCAUGUAAUAACAGUUAUCUACUACAAAGUGGGAAGUUUUGUUUAUCUCCAUUUUUACUUUAGUAGUAGCAACUAUAUAUUAGGAUUUGCAGAUUUGUUUUAUAUUUCAGAAUAAGUUAUUUUUCUUUUUCAGCUGGCUGCAAUAAAACUUGGCCGAUAUGGUGAAGACCUUCUCUUCUAUCUCUAUUACAUGAACGGAGGAGACGUAUUACAACUUUUAGCUGCAGUGGAGCUUUUUAACCGUGAUUGGAGAUACCACAAAGAAGAACGAGUAUGGAUUACCAGGGCACCAGGCAUGGAGCCAACAAUGAAAACCAAUACCUAUGAGAGGGGAACAUAUUACUUCUUUGACUGUCUUAACUGGAGGAAAGUAGCUAAGGAGUUCCAUCUGGAAUAUGACAAAUUAGAAGAACGGCCUCACCUGCCAUCCACCUUCAACUACAACCCUGCUCAGCAAGCCUUCUAAAAAAAAA